UACGUAGGGUGCAAGCGUUGUCCGGAAUUAUUGGGCGUAAAGAGCUCGUAGGCGGUUUGUCGCGUCUGCUGUGAAAACUCGGGGCUCAACUCCGAGCUUGCAGUGGGUACGGGCAGACUAGAGUGCGGUAGGGGAGACUGGAAUUCCUGGUGUAGCGGUGGAAUGCGCAGAUAUCAGGAGGAACACCGGUGGCGAAGGCGGGUCUCUGGGCCGUAACUGACGCUGAGGAGCGAAAGCCAGGGGAGCAAACGGG
rnacentral:rRNA from 1 species